rnacentral:lncRNA from 1 species
AGAAAACGGGCGGCUUGAUCGGCUUUUAGGUAGCCCCGGAAAGGUCGAGAGGAGGAGGGGCAAAGGCCGCGCUCCUCAGCUGGGAAGGAGGUGGUCUCGAGCAGCCUCCAGUCCCGGACUCAACACCGCCAACCCGGCAAGGGUGAGGCAGCGUUCAGGGAUGCAAGGGGCAGAGCGGUAGCGGCACCUGUGCACCCCUCCCACCUCUGCCUCAGUUUACCACGUACAGCCUCAUUUCUCUCCGGGCUGCCCUGAGAGAAAAAUGUUCUCCAGCCGAGAUUUGCUUGAAUUGCAAAUUCAAGUGAUCCAUGGACACACCCUCCUUGACAGCCCCCAGGAGGCUGUGGGCUGGUUACAUCCCCCUAGUUAGAAAAGGAAAAGGAUUCCAGGAGAAGGGAAGGAUGCAGCUUUGUCUUUUCCCAGCUUUGGAGCAUCAAGAAACUGUUACUGGGCGAAGCUGGGGCCAGGGGGCCACUGGGUGCUCUGAGAGUGUAAAGACCAAACUCUGGUGGGACCUGGCUCCAUUGUGGAGCCUCAAAGGCUCCAACAUGGUGGAAAAAAUUGGCAGUGCCUUCUCUAGAUCUUUCUUUCCAUCCUUAGAAGAGUAUAAGCCCAAGCCGUGGAGUGAACAACCCCAAAGCUACCCUAAGCUGAACUCCUCUCUUUGGUCCUGCCACUACUGGUGAAACCACUGACCCUUUCUGGGCCUGUUUCCUUACCUGUCCUGAGGAGAUGCUGACCUUUGGCUCCAGAGAGACUGUGAGAACUCAGUGAGGGGGUCCUGCACUCCGAGGGUCCUGCACCCUGGGAGCCCUUAGGUCUGUUUGGAGAGAAAACAGUUCCUCCAGGCAAGAGGGGAGAAGUGUCCCCAGGAGGUUGGGGGAGGAGCACCUGCCUUCCUCCUUCUCAGGAAUCACAGGUCCUACCUCCCAGCCCCAUCCACCACUGCCAGUCAGCACCUGACGCACUGGGGGUGUCCUGGGCCACCCCGACUUCCUCUGUGAGCUCCAUGUGGGGCCUCAGUCUUUACCUCAGAUGGGAAACUGAGGCCCAGCAAGAGGCAGGGCCUGGUGCAGGGACUACAGUGAAUAGGGCUGGUUUACUAUUGCUCCUUGUACAGAGCCAUAUCAAGCCCCUUUUCCCGGCUUCCUCCCUCACCUCCCCCAUCUUAGCAGGGCCCCUGCCCCUUCCUCACCCCCUGGCUUCUACAUCUCCCUAAGGGCAUAGCCUAGUGGUGGUUUCUCCCCUGAGUAGGCCCAGCUAGCCUCUGUCCCAUCCCCUGUUAUUUGGGCCCUAACAGAAGCUACCCACAUUUGAACCAUCUCUGCCCCAUGCUCAAGACCUGAGGGUCUCACAUCCUCAAAAUGGGUCCCCAAAUUCCAGAUCCAAGGAUUUGGGGAUCACACUGUUCAUCAGCUGUCACUAAACUUAUUUUACUAUGAGCCA